rnacentral:rRNA from 1 species
GAUGAACGCUGGCGGCAUGCCUAAAACAUGCAAGUCGAGCGGUAAGGCCCCUUCGGGGGUACGACGAGCGGCGGACGGGUGGAGUAACGCGUGGGAAUCUACCCAAACUGAGGGAUAAGCAUUGGAAACGAUGUCUAAUACCGCAUAUGGUCUUCGGAUUAAAGCUUCGGCGGUUUGGGAAGAGCCGCGUAAGAUUAGCUAGUUGGUGAGGUAAAGGCUCACCAAGGCGACGAUCUUUAACUGGUUUGAGAGGAUGAUCAGUCACACUGGAACUGAGACACGGUCCAGACUCCUAUGGAGGCAGCAGUUAGGAAUUUUCACAAUGGGCGAAAGCCUGAUGGAGCAAUGCCGCGUGCAGGAUGAAGG